UACGUAGGGUGCGAGCGUUGUCCGGAAUUACUGGGCGUAAAGAGCUCGUAGGUGGUUUGUCGCGUUGUUCGUGAAAUCUCACGGCUUAACUGUGAGCGUGCGGGCGAUACGGGCAGACUAGAGUACUGCAGGGGAGACUGGAAUUCCUGGUGUAGCGGUGGAAUGCGCAGAUAUCAGGAGGAACACCGGUGGCGAAGGCGGGUCUCUGGGCAGUAACUGACGCUGAGGCGCGAAAGCGUGGGGAGCAAACAGG
rnacentral:rRNA from 1 species